GGUUCUCCACGUACGAUUCUACUUGUCAGAUUGCCCAAGAAAUCGCUGAGAAGAUUCAAGAACGAAAUCAGUGUGAAAGAAGAGGUGAGAAGACACCUAAGCUUACCCUGACAAUCAGAACUUUGUUGAAGAAUCUGAAGGUCCAGCCUGAUGAGUGAAGAAGCAAAGCGAGGAACUCCCAACCCUUGGCUCUGUGAGGAGCCGGAGGAGACCAGAGGCUUGGGUUUCGAUGAGAUCCGGCAACAGCAGCAGAAAAUUAUUCAAGAACAGGACGCAGGUCUUGAUGCCCUUUCCUCUAUCAUAAGUCGCCAAAAGCAAAUGGGCCAGGAGAUUGGGAAUGAACUGGACGAACAGAACG
rnacentral:lncRNA from 1 species